GGUCCCGCCUGCCCUGUGACAAUGUUUAACGGCCGCGGUAUUUUGACCGUGCGAAGGUAGCGUAAUCACUUGUCUUUUAAAUGAAGACCCGUAUGAAAGGCAUCACGAGAGUUUAACUGUCUCUAUUUUCUAAUCAAUGAAAUUGAUCUUCUCGUGCAGAAGCGAGAAUAUAUACAUUAGACGAGAAGACCCUAUGGAGCUUUAAACACUUAAGUUAAUUAUGUAAAAUUAUUAAUCCACGGAAAUAAAUUACUUAUAUAAUACUCCUAAUUUAACUGUUUUUGGUUGGGGUGACCAAGGGGAAAACAAAAUCCCCCUUAUCGAUUGAGUGCUUAGCACUUAAAAAUUAGAACGACAGUUCUUAUUAAUAAAAUAUUUAACGAAAAAUGACCCAGUUUUUCUGAUCAAUGAACCAAGUUACCCUAGGGAUAACAGCGCAAUCCUUUCUAAGAGUCCAUAUCGCCGAAAGGGUUUACGACCUCGAUGUUGGAUCAGGACAUCCUAAUAGUGCAACCGUUAUUAAGGGUUCGUUUGUUCAACGAUUAAUAGUCCUACGUGAUCUGAGUU
rnacentral:rRNA from 1 species